UACGAAGGGGGCGAGCGUUGUUCGGAAUCACUGGGCGUAAAGGGCGCGUAGGCGGCCCUCUUAGUCGCGUGUGAAAGCCCCGGGCUCAACCUGGGAACGGCGCGCGAAACGGGAGGGCUGGAGUUCGGGAGAGGAGAGUGGAAUUCCCAGUGUAGAGGUGAAAUUCGUAGAUAUUGGGAAGAACACCGGUGGCGAAGGCGGCUCUCUGGACCGAGACUGACGCUGAGGCGCGAAAGCGUGGGGAGCAAACAGGAUUAGAUACCCUGGGUAGUCCACGCCGUAAACGAUGUGUGCUAGACGUUGGGGAGCCUAGCUCUUCGGUGUCGCCGCAAACGCCUUAAGCACACCGCCUGGGGAGUACGGCCGCAAGGUUAAAACUCA
rnacentral:rRNA from 1 species